rnacentral:lncRNA from 1 species
UGUCUUAAUUCCUAUCUAGAACUGGACAACCUGGACAGCACGACCGCCUCCCAAGAUCUACUACCAAGCCCCUGAAAACGGAAACAGAGGACAAUGUAAAUGGAGUGUAAAUAGAGUGAUGUGUUAAGAGUGAUGUGUUAAGCGUGAAUAAAAAAUGAAAAACAUUUCAUAUUGUAAU